GAUGAACGCUGGCGGCGUGCCUAAUACAUGCAAGUCGAGCGAACGGACGAGAAGCUUGCUUUUCUGAUGUUAGCGGCGGACGGGUGAGUAACACGUGGAUAACCUACCUAUAAGACUGGGAUAACUUCGGGAAACCGGAGCUAAUACCGGAUAAUAUUUUGAACCGCAUGGUUCAAAAGUGAAAGACGGUCUUGCUGUCACUUAUAGCUGGAUCCGCGCUGCAUUAGCUAGUUGGUAAGGUAACGGCUUGCCAAGGCAACGAUGCAUAGCCGACCUGAGAGGGUGAUCGGCCACACUGGAACUGAGACACGGUCCAGACUCCUACGGGAGGCAGCAGUAGGGAAUCUUCCGCAAUGGGCGAAAGCCUGACGGAGCAACGCCGCGUGAGUGAUGAAGGUCUUCGGAUCGUAAAACUCUGUUAUUAGGGAAGAACAUAUGUGUAAGUAACUGUGCACAUCUUGACGGUACCUAAUCAGAAAGCCACGGCUAACUACGUG
rnacentral:rRNA from 1 species